rnacentral:lncRNA from 1 species
GGUACUUCAGGAGGUCAUUCGGGUGCGCAUACGCAGUCCAGAGACUUAGUGGUGUGCUACUAUCCAUGCUUUGAUCUACAGCACUCAUAGUCUUCUUCUUGUUAUGUUUAUUAUUUUUGUUUAUUUUAUUUCAUAUAAUAGCUAUAGUAGUUUCUAUAUUCUACUAGAUUGCUCGUGCAAUUAUGACACUAAGUUUUGAAAAAAUUUAGUGGAAGUUCACAAUUGUACCUAAUGUUAUUAUCACUUCG